GAUCCUGUAGCUUAGUGGUAGAGUGCGCGUCUUUUUCGAACGCGAGGCCAGGGGUUCAAAUCCCCUCAGGAUCU
rnacentral:tRNA from 1 species